rnacentral:lncRNA from 1 species
AAGGAAAGUUAGACCAUGUUAAAUACAUAACUCUGUGGCAUCGAAUUUAGAUCUAAAUCCAAAUAUUCUCUUGAUUUAUAGUCAUUCAUAUUUAUUGUUUCAGCUGAAGCUACUAAAAAAAAUGGCAACACCCAAAAUAAUGCAGGCAAAGCUUAGUCUGUCAAGCCAGCAGGUCAUAUCUGGCAAAGCAAAACCCAAAGCAAAUACUGCAAGAAUAAACAAUGCCACUGGACAAAAGUCUUGUAUGCAGUCUCCUUGUGUCUCCUUGGCUAUGAUAUGAAGUCUCCUGAAGUCAAUGGAGUUGAAGAAACAGAACUGAAUUUCACAUUCUUGAUUCCAGUGACAUUAUCUUGGACUUAACGUCAGUGAAGUUGAAAGCACACAGUCAUUUAGCUGAAUAUUGCCAAGAGGAAAGAUCAUGGUGAGCUGCUAAUAUUUGUUUCUGGAAACAAUCCAGGAAUGAUGCAGAAGCCAGAUUUUUACAAAGCUUUGUAACCAUCCUUCAGACACACUAUGUGGGUCAAGGUACCAGGCAAUAAUAGAAGUCAAAUGGGUCCAAGACAAUUUUAAUCUUGUCUGAUCCAAUGACUUUCUCUAUACUAUUGGUCAUUUCACAUGAACUUCUUGAAUCUGUUUCAGGACAGCUAUGAAAGCAGGUAUAAGACUAACUUAAGAAACAUUUAGGAUCCAGAAGCCAGGUUAAACAACAUAUAUUCAAUUUUUCUGCCAGUCACUAAAACUGAGAUAUUUUCACAUAGAAAUUAAACUGUUGACAAUGCAGUCUGAGAAGGUGUUAAAUGCAUCCUACAGCAUGGUGAAGAUCAUCAGCCACCAGUGUACAGCACUGUACUGGCUCCAGCUGUAAAGUUACCCUUCUUUCUGUUCUGACAGGCACAUCAGAACUCUGCAAUACACUAUUUUUGAUAAGGAAAAGGCUUGUGGGCUGAGAAAUUGUUGUAGAAAGGAAG